ensembl:lncRNA
CAUUCACUUAUCCUAAUUCCUCUCUCCCACCCCAGUCCCUUUCCUUGAUAAAGGAGCUAAAGAUCAGAAGUUGGCAUCCGCUGGGCGGGGCAGGGCCUGCAGAUUGGCUCAACCUGGAUGCAGGCUGCACUCAGGGCAGGAAAUAAGGGGCAGCCCUGAUCCACGCGCAAUGACCAUGUGGCUGGGAGGCAGGGGACAGGCUGGAGGAGAUGUGGCUGGGAUCCACGCUCACGAUGGACCUGCCGGGUCUCCCACAUCCCAGCAGGUGUAAAGAGUGCUCUCGGGAGUCACCUCAGUUUCAACGUGGGACUCAAAAGCCUUCAAAGCAAAGAGCCUUUUAGAGGAAGAUGCUGGUCCCUGGAGGAGACCAUGUCCUGGACUGGACUCUGAAGCUGACACGGGAGGAAAACGGGCAGGGAACAACCUUUGGAAGAAUGACACAGCCACAGGACAUGACGGAAAUGGACAGAACCAAUGAGGCCCAAGAUGCUGGAUGAGAAUUCCACUAGACCUUGAGCCUCAGAUUUUGCCGUCAAGCUCGCACAGGAUGAGUGAGAGCACCUUGCAGAACCAGAAUCAUGUAUCAGCUUACAAGAAAGGCUUGAGCCACACUGCCCUGUUGAAGUCCCAGCCCCGCUCUGCACUCCUGUGUGACUACCUGUUGCCUUGGCCUCUUCAUCUGCAACGUGGGGGUGACAGCAGGACUCUGGUCCCAGGGUUGCUGGUGAUUAAGAGGAGGUGGAUGCACAGUACUUGUAGCAGCCAUUGUCACUAUGUUGUAAGGUGCUGCACAGGACAAGGAGGAGGACAAGGAGCAGGCCUUGGACGCAGAGGCAGAGUGAGGGCUCUGCUGCGUCUACAUGGAGGGGAGGAGCCAGCCCAGUUCAGUUCUGCCCUGAACUCCAAGUCCAGGCUUUAAAAAAGGAGCCAUAAAAAUGCCAUCUCACUGACGAAGGUCUGGAGCCCUUGACCACCCUGGAAAAACAUCACCUCCGCCCUGCCAAUAUUUAUCUCUUCAGCUUGCUUCUGGCCAAAGUCCACACCAGGCGUGAUUCUACUGCUUGCAGAGCCUUACCACUGACGUCCCUGUACUGAGGGGCUCUGACUGGAGGAGAUAAGCCCAGAGGGGCAGCUGUGUGGAUGCUGUCUCUUGUCACAAAAGAGCCAGCUUGGAAAGGGCAGACAGGCUGGGCUGGCUCCAGAGGUUGGCAACUGACCUUUGUAAGGAAGAGUCAAGAGUCAGAUUCCGUGUCAGAAAGUUAAGAUUACAGAACUCUAAGAAGGAAUUGGAUUCUUUCUCCUCCUUACCCACCUCCCAGUGUAUCAUCUCACCUUGUUUGGCCUGAACUAUUCCAGUGAUUUAAAGCAUUCCUGGGGCUGUCAUAUGACCUCUUCUGAUCCUCACAACCACCCCACAUGGCAGGUGUUGGUGUCAAUGUCCUCAAAUGAGAAAACUGAAAGUCAGAGGACUCAUCUGACUUUGCAGAGGUCCCCAGGAUUCUAGAUGGCAUAGCUCAACUCCUAGACCAGAGCCCUUUCUGCUACAGAAACACGGACUCAUCACCUGCUCAGAGCAGAUGAGCAAAGAGCAAAUCGACACCCUCAGGACCCUGCUCAGGCAAGAUACACUGAGCACUCUACAAGCAGAAGGGAGAGCAGCAGGUCCCAGAGCUUGGGUGGGCUGGGGGAUGGCUAUCAUGUGGGUUUUUCUGUCUCAUUUACUCUACUAGUUUUCCCAAAAGGAUUCCACCAAUACAAAUACU